GAUGAAGAACGCAGCGAAAUGCGAUAAGUAAUGUGAAUUGCAGAAUUCAGUGAAUCAUCGAAUCUUUGAACGCACAUUGCGCCCGCCAGUAUUCUGGCGGGCAUGCCUGUCUGAGCGUCAUUUCAACCCUCAUGCCCCUAGGGCGUGGUGUUGGGGAUCGGCCAAAGCCCGCGAGGGAGGCCGGCCCCUAAAUCUAGUGGCGGACCCGUCGUGGCCUCCUCUGCGAAGUAGUGAUAUUCCGCAUCGGAGAGCGAUGAGCCCCUGCCGUUAAACCCCCAACUUUCCAAGGUUGACCUCAGAUCAGGUAGGAAUACCCGCUGAACUUAAGCAUAUCAAUAAGCGGAGGA
rnacentral:misc_RNA from 1 species